GGAGAGGUGGCAGAGUGGUCGAUUGCGUCCGACUUGAAAUCGGAUGAUGCGAAAGCAUCCGGGAGUUCGAAUCUCCCCCUCUCCG
rfam:Scytonema hofmannii PCC 7110 genomic scaffold Scaffold1, whole genome shotgun sequence.